AAAGAUUUAUCGGUGAAAGAUGAGCAUGCGUCCCAUUAGCUAGUUGGUAAGGUAACGGCUUACCAAGGCUACGAUGGGUAGGGGUCCUGAGAGGGAGAUCCCCCCACACUGGUACUGAGACACGGACCAGACUCCUACGGGAGGCAGCAGUGAGGAAUAUUGGUCAAUGGGCGCAAAGCCUGA
rnacentral:rRNA from 1 species